GCCCAGACUCCUACGGGAGGCAGCAGUAGGGAAUCUUCCGCAAUGGACGAAAGUCUGACGGAGCAACGCCGCGUGAGUGAUGAAGGUUUUCGGAUCGUAAAGCUCUGUUGUUAGGGAAGAACAAGUGCCGUUCAAAUAGGGCGGCACCUUGACGGUACCUAACCAGAAAGCCACGGCUAACUACGUGCCAGCAGCCGCGGUAAUACGUAGGUGGCAAGCGUUGUCCGGAAUUAUUGGGCGUAAAGGGCUCGCAGGCGGUUUCUUAAGUCUGAUGUGAAAGCCCCCGGCUCAACCGGGGAGGGUCAUUGGAAACUGGGGAACUUGAGUGCAGAAGAGGAGAGUGGAAUUCCACGUGUAGCGGUGAAAUGCGUAGAGAUGUGGAGGAACACCAGUGGCGAAGG
rnacentral:rRNA from 1 species